rfam:Dipodomys ordii contig_57632, whole genome shotgun sequence.
UGCAAUGUGGCCCAGUGGUAGAGUGCUUGCCUAGCAUGCAUGGAGCUCUGGGUUCAAUUUCCCAGUAGCACAU